UACUACUUCCUGGUGUGUACCAAAGAAUUGAACUAUAGAAGAAAUAAGUCUACAUAGAUUUUUUUUCAUUUCCUCAAUAAUCUCUUUUAAGUGUUUUAAUUUAAACCCAAACAGAUUUCAGGCAAGAUGAAGAUUUGUGUCCAAGAUUGUCUUCUAUCCCACAUGAGAGUACUCAAAUGCAACUGUUUUCUCUCUCACUUCCAGGAGUGUAGUUUAUAAAGAAGAAGGUGAAGUGGAUCUUCAAAUCUUUCUUCAAAUUCCUUCCACUGAUUACAGAGGAAUAAAGAGAAAAAAAGAAGUGACCCGAAGUAUUUUCUAAGAAAAUUAUGGACAACUUAUUGUAAAUAGAAGAACAGAAUUCAGAAAUUUGGAUCUCGUUAGAGCCUCUUGGAUGGAGGAGACAGAUUCCCUCAAGUCUGGGUGUUAUUUCCAGAGGAAUGAUGAAGGAGAAAUCUAGCAAAAUAAAAACAGAUCUCAUACACAGCUAUAGGGUUUCCUCAGAGAUUUCACCCUGGAAUCCAAAGGAUUUGAAGAAGCUGAACUUCUCCCACUUCUUUGAUGCUCAUCAAAAAUCUUGUCUUUUAAAGCAGUCAAGGAAAUAAAUAUUCCUACCCACUCUCCCAAAUGUGUUUCCUUUAGGGAAGACUCUUAAUGAAACCCAGGCUACAUUUAAAGCCACAGUAGCAAAAUAUUUUAUUUUAAAAGAAAGUUAUAUUAAAUACAUUUAGAUAAAAUUAUGUGGCUAAGACAGAGGACAAGAGGCAUGAAAGUUGUCUUUAAUAUUAAAGUGCUACCACAUGGAAACAGGAUUAAAACAAUUCUGAGCUGCUUCUCAGAGAAUAAAUUAACCAGUGGUUGAGAUGGGCA
rnacentral:lncRNA from 1 species